rnacentral:tRNA from 1 species
GUCCCAAUAGCUCAAUGGUUUAAGAGCUUGACUUGUAACCCGAAUGUCCUGGGUUCGAAUCCCGGUGGGUCCA